UGGGGAAUAUUGCACAAUGGGGGAAACCCUGAUGCAGCGACGCCGCGUGAGCGAAGAAGGUUUUCGAAUCGUAAAGCUCUGUCCUAUGAGAAGAUAAUGACGGUAUCAUAGGAGGAAGCCCCGGCUAAAUACGUGCCAGCAGCCGCGGUAAUACGUAUGGGGCGAGCGUUGUCCGGAAUUAUUGGGCGUAAAGGGUACGUAGGCGGUCUAUUAAGUCAGGUGUGAAAGCGUGAGGCUUAACCUCAUUAAGCACUUGAAACUGAUAGACUUGAGUGCAGGAGAGGAAAGUGGAAUUCCCAGUGUAGCGGUGAAAUGCGUAGAUAUUGGGAGGAACACCAGUAGCGAAGGCGGCUUUCUGGACUGCAACUGACACUGAGGCACGAAAGCGUGGGUAGCAAACAGG
rnacentral:rRNA from 1 species